UUGAACAACUUUUUUUUUUUUUAAAUUUAUUAUAUGUAAGUACACUGUAGCUGUCUUCAGACACUCCAGAAGAGGGCAUCAGAUUUCGUUACAGAGGGUUGUGAGCCACCAUGUGGUUGCUGGGAUUUGAACUCGGGACCUUCGGAAGAGCAGUCGGCGCUCUUAACCACUGAGCCAUCUCGCCAGCCCCCCUUGAACAACUUUUAAAGAGAAGAAGCCUCCGUAUGAACUGUCACAAUUGCAGAGUGGGCUAAGCUAGCCAUCUACUCCCAGUUAAGUCAUCAUGCAGGCAAAUAAACAGCAAUCUGUAAUAAACAAAACCAAACGCAGGAGUAGCUAGCUGCCGGGAGUGGUGGUGCAGACUAGUAAUCCUAGCACCUGGGAUGUCAAGGCUGGAGGAUCUAGAGUUCAAGGCCAGCCUGGACUCCACAGUGAGGGCUUGUCUAAAAACAAACAAACAACAAAUAACAACAGUAACAACAAAAUCCAUCUAAACAAAAGGCAUGGGAGGAGCUGGGAAUGGGGCUGGGUUGGCAGAGGGUUUGCCUAGCAUGCAGAAAGCGAGGCCCACCAACGUAGAACCUGGGCAUGGUGACAGAUACCUUUAAGCCCAGCACUCUCUGGGGGUAGAGAUGGGGCGAUCUCUGUGAAUUCAAAGCCAGUUCCUGUCUACACAGCCAGACCCUGUCUUCAUUAAAUCAACCAAUCAAUCAACCAACCAGUCAAUCAAUCAAUUAACCAAAGCAGCUUUUGGUGACUCCUUCCUCCAUAGAGCUGUAUUUGAGAUGGGGAAAGGGGUGGUAGACUGAGGUGCACCAGAGGGUCUGAGGCUAUAACUGAUGAACACCAGAUGUCACACUUCACAUAGCCUGGGGUGGUUCCUGGGUUGACCCACUUUGACCCCUCACUGUAUGUCUCUGGAUCCUCAGGGAAGUCACAGAAUGACUACCCCUGGCCUGAGAGAAUGUGGAGGACAGUGGGGCUUAGCCUUCUUCACUCCGCUAUGGAUGCCAGGGGUGCACAGGACAUCAGGAGCCUAUGGCGCCCCCUGGUGGCCGUAGCCUCUCUAGCCCCAGCUCCUGGAGCCAAAUCUCGGACCGUUCCUGGGUCUUCACUGCCACCUAGCGGCCAGCUCCUUGAGGCUUUCCCAGGCUGGAAGGACAGAUGGUCCUUCCUUGGCCCUCCUGGCCUGUGUCUAGGGAUCUGCAGUGAUUUCGGAACUGCUCAACGACUGGCUCCAGGGAAGCCGCGGAAGGCAGACAAGCGAGAGCUCAAGAGAGCAAUGUGUGGUUAUCCCUAAGAACCUCAGGAAACUUCGAGAGCUAAGGGUCAGCUCUUGAGGGGUCAGGACCUACUGAUGGCUUAGAAAGUGUGGGAGAAACAUUACCAUUCAGGUACUGCUGACAGGACUGAAAUCCAUUCUUGUCUUUUCCUUCCCUCUGCUUCCCCUGAUAUUUCUCUUCUCUUCUCUUCUCUUCUCUUCUCUUCUCUUCUCUUCUCUUCUCUUCUCUUCUCUUCUCUUCUCUUCCCUUCCCUUCCCUUCCCUUCCCUUCCCUUCCCUUUUCUCCUCUCCUCUCCUCUCCUCUCCUCUCCUCUCCUCUCCUCUCCUCUCCUCUUCUACCUCUCUCCCCUCCCUCCCUUUCUCUUUCUCUCUCCCUCCCUCCCACCUCCCCUCCUUCCCUCUCUCCCUUCCUCUCCCCCCUCUCUCCUUCUCUCCCCUCUCUCUCUUCCCCCUUUCACUUCCCUUUUCCCUUUGCCUCAAACUUGCUGAGGCAAAUAAACUGAGGGUGAUCUUGAACUCCUAGUCUUCUUGCUUCUGCCUCCCCAGUGCUGGGAUGAAAGGCAUGCCCUGGAGUUACACGCUCUGCUUGCUAUGUGGGUGCAGGGAUCUGAACUCUGGUCUUCAUGGUUAUUCGGCCUUAACCGCUGAGCCAUCUUCCCAACCAGCCCCCAUGAAGGCAUCUCUUAUGAUGCAGUUAACUAUGUUAUUCUGAGGAGUAAGUGGUAAGGUGUGUGUGUGCUCGCAUGUAGGAAUUGUGGGGAGACUUGGAAAACAACUUCAGGAAACCAUCUACUUUGCCUUUUCUUCUCUCUCUCUCUCUCUCUCUCUCUCUCUCUCUCUCUCUCUCUCUCUUUCCUAUAAAGUCUCACUAUUUAGUCCUGUCUAGCUUAAAACUCGAAAUGUAGGCCAGGCUGGCCUUGAACUCACAGAGAGCCACCUGCUCGGCUUCCCAGGUGCUAGGAUUAAAGAUGUGUGAAGACCUUACGUUCUGAGAUAGGAUCUCCCAUGGAACAGCAGUCAGGUGAGGCUGCCUGGCCAGUGAGCCCAGGAAUUCACCGACCCCACCCCCCAUGCUGACACUUUAACUGUGUGCCACUAUACCAGAGUCUUUUGACGUGAAUUUGGGGGUUAGACCCAGGUCCCCAUGUGGCUUGGUGAGCACUUUACCCACUGAGUUUUCUCCGUAGCUGACGCGUUUUUCUGAGUCACAUGAGUUGCAUCCUUCCUGUCCUAAGAGAGAGCGUUUGUGGAGUAACCGGGUUCAUCUGGAGUUCACCAAAUCUUGCCUAGAAUGGAGUCUUCCAAAUAGAAAAUGGGGGCCUGGAAGCCACUUGCAGGACACCACAGCCAACAAGAGGAGUCAAGGUGGGUUUCCCGAGGGCCCAUGGGAUACUGGCCAGGAUAGACAGAGCACAUAUCAACUGGUGGGAAAGGGUGAACAUCAAAGUGUGGGCUCUGACCACAGUGGAUUAGAAAUUAAUAAGUGGAGGGGGCUGGAGAGAUGGCUCAGCGGUUAAGAGCACAGACUGCUCUUCCAGAGGUCCUGAGUUCAAUUCCCAGCAACCACGUGGUGGCUCACAACCAUCUGUAGUGAGAUAUGAUGCCCUCAUCUGGUGUGUCUGAAGACAGCCACAGUGUACUCACAUAUAUACAUGUAAUAAAUAAAUAAAAAAUAUUUUUAAAAAAGAAAUGAAUAACGAGAUAUGGGGACAUUUGUAGAUAUACGGAAAUUAAAGAACAGACUCUGUGUGUGUGUGUGUGUGUGUGCCUGGAGGACAGGUGUGUGUCCUGCUCCUCACUGUCUGUCCAGUUCCCUCGACACCAGGUCUCUCACUGAACUUGGAACUAGAAUUAACCAGCAACUCCAGCGAUCCUCCUGCCUAUAUCCCCUGUGUGUGGCCACAUUCAGAUUUUUUUACACCAAUGUUGGGCAUUUGAGCCCAUGUUCUAAUGGUUGAGCAGGCAAGCAGACACUGGCCCUACCACAUACCUAUUAACAUACCUAUAUAAUGAAAUAUAACAUAUCAGGACAGAUGGACCGCAGGGAAAGCAGCAGCCAGGUGUGACGGUGUCCGCUUGGGAUCCCAGCACUCAGGGCGGGAAGGCAGGAGGAUUAUGAGUUUGAAGCCUUCUUGGGCCACACAGUGAGACCCUGUAUCAAAACAAACAAAAUAACAAAACC
rnacentral:lncRNA from 1 species